rnacentral:rRNA from 1 species
CCGGGGAUAACAGGCUGAUUCCGCCCAAGAGUUCAUAUCGACGGCGGAGUUUGGCACCUCGAUGUCGGCUCAUCACAUCCUGGGGCUGUAGUCGGUCCCAAGGGUAUGGCUGUUCGCCAUUUAAAGUGGUACGUGAGCUGGGUUUAAAACGUCGUGAGACAGUUUGGUCCCUAUCUGCAGUGGGCGUUGGAAGUUUGACGGGGGCUGCUCCUAGUACGAGAGGACCGGAGUGGACGAACCUCUGGUGUACCGGUUGUGACGCCAGUCGCAUCGCCGGGUAGCUAAGUUCGGAAGAGAUAAACGCUGAAAGCAUCUAAGCGUGAAACUCGCCUGAAGAUGAGACUUCCCUAGGGAUUAAAUCCCUCUGAAGAGACGUUCGAGACCAGGACGUUGAUAGGUCGGGUGUGGAAGAGUGGUAACACUUGCAGCUAACCGAUACUAAUUGCUCGUGAGGCUUGACUCUAU